CUACGGGUGGCUGCAGUGAGGAAUUUUGCGCAAUGGGGGGAACCCUGACGCAGCAACGCCGUGUGAGUGAAGAAGGCCUUUGGGUCGUAAAGCUCUGUCAACUGGGAAGAAGUUACUAUGCUUAAAUAGAGUGUAGUAUUGACGGUACCAGUGGAGGAAGCGUCGGCUAACUCCGUGCCAGCAGCCGCGGUAACACGGGGGACGCAAGCGUUAUUCGGAAUUAUUGGGCGUAAAGGGCGCGUAGGCGGUCGUGUCGGUCAGGUGUGAAAGCCCGGGGCUCAACCCCGGACGUGCACUUGAAACAGCAAGACUUGAGUACGGGAGAGGAAAGCGGAAUUCCUGGUGUAGAGGUGAAAUUCGUAGAUAUCAGGAGGAACACCGAUGGCGAAGGCAGCUUUCUGGACCGAAACUGACGCUGAGGCGCGAAGGCGUGGGUAGCGAACGGGAUUAGAUACCCCAGUAGUC
rnacentral:rRNA from 1 species